CCCGGGGACCGCCGGGCGUGGCGCACGGCUCAGUAACACGUGCCUAACCUACCCUCGGGAGGGGGACAACCCCGGGAAACUGGGGCUAAUCCCCCAUAGGGGAAGGGUGCUGGAAGGCCCCUUCCCCGAAAGGGGCCGCGGUCGAUCUACCGCGGUCCGCCCGAGGAUGGGGGCACGGCCCAUCAUGGUAGUUGGCGGGGUAACGGCCCGCCAAGCCGAAGACGGGUGGGGGCCGUGAGAGCGGGAGCCCCGAGAUGGGCACUGAGACAAGGGCCCAGGCCCUACGGGGUGCAGCAGGCGCGAAAACUCCGCAAUGCGGGAAACCGUGACGGGGCCACCCCGAGUGCCGCCCGAAGAGGGCGGCUUUUGCCCGGUGCAAAAAGCCGGGCGAAUAAGCGGGGGGCAAGUCUGGUGUCAGCCGCCGCGGUAAUACCAGCCCCGCGAGUGGUCGGGGUGCUUACUGGGCCUAAAGCGCCCGUAGCCGGCCCGGUAAGUCGUCCCUGAAAUCCACGGGCUCAACCCGUGGGCUGGGGGCGAAACUGCCGGGCUUGGGGGCGGGAGAGGCCGAGGGUACUCCCGGGGUAGGGGCGAAAUCCGAUAAUCCCGGGAGGACCACCAGUGGCGAAGGCGCUCGGCUGGAACGCGCUCGACGGUGAGGGGCGAAAGCUGGGGGAGCAAAG
rnacentral:rRNA from 1 species